AGACCCUCAAGAAAUUAAUGUUGGUUAACAUGCCCAAGUAGUCCACUGAAAAGCUUAAGGCUGACAAAAGGGUCAUCGUAGAAGAUUAGUAUUUUAUUUCAGCCUUGGAUUUCUGGUUCUCAGGAGAAAAUGAUGUAUUGUUCAGGAAGGAUUUUUGUCACUAUAGGCUUCUGCAAAUUUCCCCUGUUAUGUAUAUGUUUUGAAAAUAAAAGGUGGCUAGCUAGAGGCAAAUGGACGCGAUUGGAUUGAAGGGGGGAAAAAAGUGAAUUUUGAGAUUGCUGAGGUUGUGCCAUCCUGGUUAUUGAUUGCUUGAUCUUGUGUUCAAAACUUUGAGUUCAACUGAACAUCAAUUUGAAUUCUUUGAUUUCUGUGUGCUUUGAUUC